AACGGCCGCGGUAUAUUGACCGUGCAAAGGUAGCAUAAUCAUUAGUCUUUUAAAAGGAGGCUGGAAUGAAAGGUUUGACGAGAUACUAUCUGUCUCAACCUCAAUUAUUAAAAUUUAACUUUUAAGUUAAAAGGCUUAAAUUUUAUUGAUAGACGAGAAGACCCUAUAGAGCUUUAUGAAUAUUCUUUUNNNNNNNNNAUAGGUUUUAUAAAAAAAUUUAAUUUNUUUAUUCAUUUUGUUGGGGUGACANAAAAAACACAUUUAACUUUUNUUAUUUNACAAAACAUUUAUUUAUGUNUUAAAAGAUCCAUUAAUAUUGAUUAUUAGACUAAGUUACCUUA
rnacentral:rRNA from 1 species